AGCCGAGCAGGCAGCUUGGGGAAGAGCUGCGUUCCCAGCUGGGCCGAGGGCGCGCGUUCGGCCUCAGCUUCCCCGGAGCAGAGCGGGAAGGUUUGCUCCUCGUGAGGAAGCUCCGGCUCUGCUUCAGCUACACGCGAUGCCAACCAUGUGGCAGCUCCACGGCUGUUCUUAUCAGCGUUCAUCCAAUUACUCAAUAAAAAUACCCCCUCGCUGCGUGGAGAACAGUUUCACAGCAUGAAGCGGAAUGUGUAAAAUCACGUAAGCCAUUGAAUAGGAUAGAAAGGUAAAAUAAUUCAGAGGUUGCGCUCAAGCCCUGGCAGAAUCAGCUGUAUGUAGAAACCUGAUUUUCCUUAACUCACUCAGAAGCAGAGCUGACGUCUGACUGAUGAGAAUAGAGAGUGCUUUGGGAUAAACAUGUUUUUCUGUUUUCCUGAGCCCACUGAAGAAAUUCUCCCACAGAAGCCAAAAUUUUGAAUUGGAGAAAGAUGAUAUCUUUUUUUUUUUUCCUGAAAUAGAAGCAAUAAUCACAGUUUUCAUUUUAGCUGAGUUGCAGAUGAUUUUGCAGGAUAUUUUUUUUUCAAUGAAACUAAGGAUCCCUUGUCUUGAGAACAGUUCAUUCUGUGUUCUGCUGACAGCAGAAGUGCAAGUGUGAGUUGAUUGAGAAUUCUUAUAUACAGAGACUGGCAAACAGAUCCGGAAUUUUACACUGUCAGAUGAUUGAUUUGAUUUGUUUGUUGCUUCCAAAGGGCUAUCCUUUUAUACAUUUGCACAGGCCAGACUAAUUCUGUCUAACUGAUUCACUUGUAAAUAUGUAUGUGGCAUACAAAGCUUCACUUUCUUCAGAAGAUUAGGAGGAAGGACAACUGUGUGUGUGUUCUGGUUGGAAAACUGGGCUCAGGAAGAGAUAAGAGCCCUUCAAGCAGCUAUCAGGUUUUAAAAAGUUCAACCAUGGAAGGAAAGUAUGUUUUGAGGUUUUCGGCCUAUUUGGACAAUUUAUUUUGUAGCUACAAAUUGAGGUACAUGAUAGAUUUUUGUGCGUUAGGCUUCAUCUCGUAAUUGUUUUUAAAUGGAAAGCAAAUAGAACAACACAAUUAGAAUAUUAUCAAAUAAAUAUUUACUUGCUUCAAAAUAACUUUGCUAGGUUUCUAAUGAGUCACGGCAGCAAAAGAGCCCCUUGUAUAAAAAGAUUUUUUAAAGAAUGAAAUGCUGUUAUAAUUUCACUUGAAUGUAGUAAUUUAAGAAUUCUUAAAUUCUUCUUGUAGACCAUCCUUGUGCCUUCUGCUUUCUGUGCACAAACAAGACAAUGCAGUCAUCACAAAGCUGAGGCACAGGAAGACCUAAGGGAUUGCUUCAGCGUAGCAUAGGAAGCAUUGUGUAGAUGAGAAUGUGGGACUAGUUUUUUCUGACUUACUUUCUCCUUUCGAACAACUGUAAUAAUAAGAGAUUGCCAGAGUUUGACUGAAGAGAUCUGAGAGCAUUUGACCUGCACUCUGUUUGAGAGUAACAUUUUAAUUCUCUCUUUGAACAAGAACAAACCCAGUAAUUGACGAACAAUUACUAGUGCUGGUAAUAAAAGGCUAGCAGAUUUCUGCUAAGUCCUAGCACCAGAAUACUUCUUGAACUGUGUGAAUUGGCUUCAUUUUUGUCAUGAACAUACCUAAGCUGCCUAGUCUACUUUUUCAUACUUAGAAUGAGGGCUAUUCUACUGCAGAAGCUAAGACUUACAUUUCCUCAAAGCCUAACUUCUGGGCAUUCUUCAAUCUUCAACUCAUUAGGUUUGUUUUCUCUCUAAAAAAAUGUCAGUUUUUUAUUAUCCUAGUGAGAUCCAGGUGUUUCUCAAGUAAAAUUAAAAAUACAUCCUGAAAAACAGAUUCAAGCUAUUCAGUAUGCACCCCACUUUCAGAAAAUCAAGCUCUUCAGUUCUCAAAAGCCCAUAUGCUAUUUAGAACCACAGCACUUGAUUAAUGUGAUAAAAUUACACCUUUAAUUAGAGUAAGCUUUCACAGGUAUUACUGACAAAGUUUAAAAAAUCCAAACUAUCUGGUGAUUAUCUCUAAAAAUUGUGAAGGAUUUUUUUACUUCCCCCUUCCACAUGUUAUCCCUUGUUUUAAUCAAAGUAUUUUGUCUGCUUUUUUUUAGACUUGUCUAAAAAACGUGACUAUAGUGUCUUAAAGAUGGUUCUGCAUAGAAAAACAGUACCACACCUUUACACCAUCUUCUGUCACAGUACCAAUAGCAAAGAAUUGUUUCUACUGAACCUACUAGGUUGAACCAACAAUACCUUAUACAAAGAGAGAACCCAAUUUCUGGCCAUGUGUAUCUUCAGAAUGUUGUACGCAAACAUAUUCACUACGGAAGGAAGGCUGCAUGUUACUAUGCUAUCUGAGACCAUUUGUGUUAAUCCGGAGCACAGAAAUUCAGAUGUCUGUACAUCCCUUGUCUGUAAAGAUGGAGCCUUGCAUGGCAUCCUCUGAGUUCAGAGAGUGAAUACUUUUCCAGUGUCCAGUUGCUGCAUAACUAAGGAAAAAGAAGUAAUCUAACAGGUACUGUAAUUUGUUUUCAUAUUGGGAUUCCAUUUUUCAGAGAUAAUAGAAUAUAUCAAAUUUUGACCCUUUGCAAACAGGCUUCAACAAAUUAAUUGUUGAGUAAAAAACUGAAUUUAAUAUUUACAGUGUAAUUUCUCACUGGAAUGAAGACUCAAUUAGAGUCUCAAUGAUUUACUAAAGACAUUUUAAACAUAAUGUCCAAAUAAUGCUACAUAAAUUAAACAUGAUGUAAUUGAGUGAACCGCUAAGUGGCUCAUCUCUGUUGAUUCAUGUGGAAAUCACGCAAAUUUUACUGAUCAUUAUGCAUUCAUUCAGUAUUAAUACAGAUACCACGUGCUUUCAUAGUGAUUCCAUUGUUACUCAGCAUUCAUUAAGUUUUAAUGUACCAUUAAGAAGUUAUCAAAAGACUCAUCUAAAAAUAACACCACAAAGGUAGUUCAUUUAAAGACAGUUAAAGAAGCAUAAUUCACUUUAAUAUUGAAUACAAAUUAAGUCAAUAAUGAAUCAGCAGAAAAAAAUUUAGGCUGUUUAAUUGCAAAUAAGACCAGAAAAAAUAUUUGAAGUAAAAGCAUUCUCCAUGUUCCAGAUUUCUGGACAGCUAGCAACAUUUCUAUGCAAAAGUGAUCAUGCAGAUAAGUACAUGGCCUUCCUUCAACUGGUGCUGUACACUAACCUUCAGUAUAGUCAUUCACUACAGUGGAAAUACUAUUUUUAAAAAGAGAAGAGUACAAAUUAUGGCCAGAUUACCUAUCAUAUUCAGUUUGUUGGAUGGGGAGCAAAAAAAGACGAGAAAACCAGAGCAACGUUAGUAGCUUGUGCAAAGCACCCUCUUUUUUCCAUUUUUUGCCUGCUAGGCCUCACAAUGUGCUUCUGCUAGCAAAAUGUUUUUUCACAAGUGAACUCUAACAUGUAAGCACAGGUCGGUCAGUCUCACCUCAGUGCUUGGCAAAUUCAUGAAGCAGACCCUCCUGAAAACUAUAUUAAGGCACAUGAAAAACAAAGGUGAUUGGUGACAGCCGACAUGGCUUCACUAAGGGCAAAUCAUGCCUGACAAAUUUAGUGACCUUCUGUAACGGCAUUACAGGAUUGGAUAAGAGAUCAACUGAUGCCAUCCACCUGGAGUUGUGCAAAACAUUCGACAUACAAGCACAUGACAUCCUUGUCUUUAAAGGAUUUCAGAAGGUGAAUUAUCACCUUCAUGCAAUUCCUGCAUGAAAUAGGGUCAACAGAAAUUUCCAUCAGAAAAAUUGAUUGAAAACUCUUAUGUAAAGGUGGUACAUAUUAGUCAAAGGGAUGUCCUUAUUGUAAGUUGGAGCUAAUGAACAACUAUCACAGUAAACUGAGCAACGUACAUACCAUAACCUUAAGUUUUUAAAUAUUUUGUUCAUUGGCUAGAUGAAAAGACCAUCUUUGAAUCAGAUGAUCACAGCUGUGACUAAAUAUGACUUAGCAAGUUCCAGUUCAACUGGAUACAUAGCAAUUUAGAACCAUUACAUGGAACUAUCUCUCAUAAACUGUUGAUCUUGGAAGGAGACAAAUGUAUCCUACAAGUCACUCAUUAUAGAAAAUAGCCUUCUUUCAUUAUUUGCCUUAGAAACAAGCAAUUGUUAGCUUCCCUCAAACAAGGAAAAGCCUCACUUAAAAACUGUGCUGUACAUCCACACCACAACAGGUAGCAUGAUAUGAGAAAUCACCCUUGUGUAAAACCACUUAUUGUACAUGAAGACAUGCAUGGCACAAACAGACUGAAUUGGGACUGGUGAUCAAUGCCUGUUUCAGUAAAAGAAUGAGAAAGGAUAAAAGCCAGAAAGUGGAAGUUUACAACAAACAAACAAGACAAUUCUCCAGUUAACACGUGGUUAAGUCUCUACAGAUGCUACAUGGGCAAAGAACAUCUCCCACUCACAGGAGAGUGAGAGAGGGACAGGGGAAGAGAGUUUUUAGUCAUCGCUUCGCUCUUCGUAACGCCAUACACACAUGUACGACUGGUAAGGACUAUGUGGGUCAAAGAUACACUGAAACAUCUCUAUUAGAAAAUAAUGAACAACCAUAUCACUUUUUUUUUUGUCUUUAGUAUGUCCGGUAACAACAGAUUUCUUGAAUUCUGAAAAGCACUUCACAAAUUUAUUUUUAAAAUACUUGCGAGUUACUGUGUAGCCUGCAUAUAUUUCCCAUAGAAUCAUAAAACAAAGUUAUACACUAUGCAAAAUAAAUAAAAGUAUUAUUCACAGUGUCAUUGGAAAAAAUACCUUAAUAAAAAUGCUUGAAAAUACAUGAGCUGCUCUGAAAGCAAUGCCUCCUAUGUUAUUACAUUGGCUCAUAAUAUCAGAGGCAGAUGUUGGUGGUACGGUUGAACCUUCCCACCUAUCUUCUGUUACAUUUUGUUGUCACGUGACAGAUAGCAGCAGAGGGGCAGUCUGAUGUGAAAGUGCACAUGAAACAGAGGUGUAUCAUUAAAAUCUUCCUUGCAGAAAAAAUGGCAUCUAUUGACAUUCAUCAACUUGCUGAACAUUUAUGGAGACCAACAGUGGACGCGAGCACAGUGAGGUUGUGGGUACUGCAUUUCAGCAAGUAGUGACAGUGGGUCUCCUCCACUGGUGCAGAUUAUUACGAGCAUAGCCUUAUAGGCUCCUGUUCAUUGCUGGUGAAAACGUAUAGAUAAUGGUUGUACUUAUGUUGAAAAAUAGAGUUUUGUAGAUGAGAAUUUGUUCUAUUAGAUACUAUUAUUGUGUUCUUUGUAUCUAUUGUAGUUUCCAUAGAAAUAAAUAGAAGGCAUUACUUUCAGAGUGGCCUACAUGUAUUUGUGCAAUCAAAUAGGUAUAGAAAAAAAAAAUCAGAUGGAACAGAGAGACAUGACCUUUUAAGCUCCUCUGAACAAUACAGUAUUUGCUUCAUCUGAACCUGUUUUUAAAGUGGCUUGUGGUUAGUGAUAUACAGAGGUUAGAAACAACACUCAGCGCGUUAUGUAGCACUCUUACUACUAGUUAAGCAUGCUUAUCUAGCUGUGGACAAACUAUGCAUUUUUAUAACCUUUGUAGGAAACAAUUUUCCUAUUCAGCAUAGAAAUACCAGGAAAUCUGUGUCAGAGAGACUGUUGCAGUGCAAUGCUGAAUCAAAAUCUCAGGUAUUUAAAACAGGCGAUUCUAAUAUCUACCCAUCAACUGACAUAUUUUGAUCAUAGGGGAAAUACAAAUUUCAAUUAACAAUAAUUUUAAAAUACCCUCACAUCCACUCACAACACUUCACUUGCUUUUAUUCAAGUUUCAAGUGGGAAAGGGAAGGAAAACAAAACCUACUGAGUUACUUAAGUUUCUGCAAUGAGAAGUUAUUCUUCAAUACAGAAUGCAAAAUAUUAAUGCUGAGUCAAGAGAGUUUUGUGUGAGACUAUCAUUAAAUUGUCUGGUUACAAAUCUAAAACAAUAGAUUUUUAAAGUCUGCACUAUUUUACCCUGUGAGAGUGCAUCUUAGGAGGCAGAAACCAAGCAUCAUUUUUCACCUGAGGGAGUGAAGGAAAACAGUCCUACCAGGACUAUCGACAAAAUAUUGAGAAAUCUCUUACUAAUGAUGCCAAGCAGGAGGCUUGAAAUAUAUUUACUAAGAAUUAGGGAACUGAUAUAGUCUAAUAACUAGAAAAAACAAAUAUUCAAAACUUUUAUCUACCUGACUAGAAAAGACUGCAGCUGAGUCUAGGAUGAAGCUGCUUAGCAUGUGCUUAAAAUCAUAUAUUUGUGCUAUCUGAAUAUAUGAACAUACAAAGCUGUGUAUACAUUCACCAGUUCAUUCUGCAAAACUGAACUCUCCUCCCACCUCCCUUCCCAUGAAGAGACCCCAUUCAUAGCACUUCAUGUCCAAGCUAACUGCAUUUAGUGUCAGGCAUUAAUAUGGUAAUCUUGAAGGAUGCACCAUGAGUUCAUUGUUAUGGAUGCAAUGAUGGAAA